rnacentral:misc_RNA from 1 species
GAGCUUAUUACUGUCAACAAUUUAACGACUUUCAAUCCUCAGUAUACAAAAUUUUGCAUGACCAUAUCAUUAUGGUAAUACCUUACAGUAUAGGAGAAGACAAGAGUCAAGACAUUAUUAACCAUCACAAAAUAAACAUAAAAGAAAUUCUCAAACAGGAUGAAAAAUAUGGUUUUAAAUUGUUGACAGUAAUAAGCUCUUAUUCAAUGGCCAUCUGCUCCACCCUAGAUAGUUCUUCCAGAGAGAAUACAAGUGACAUCCAACUAUUCAAAAACAAGAUUCCAAAGUUCACAAUUACAUCAAAACCUUCCCUAAGCUCUCUGCUCAACAUAAGAACCAGCAAGUCCAGAAGUGCCAAGAACAGUAACCUUCCCCCACUCUGAACCAAGCCCACUGCAUCUCAUCUUCAAGUAUAUCAUCU